AUGCUCAUUUUGGCAGCAUAUAUACUAAAAUUGGAAUGAUACAGAGGAGAUUAGCAUGGCCCCUGUGCAGGGAUGACACACAAAUUCGUGAAGCAUUCCAUAUUUUU
rnacentral:snRNA from 1 species